UAAUACAUGCAAGUCGAGCGGACAGAUGGGAGCUUGCUCCCUGAAGUCAGCGGCGGACGGGUGAGUAACACGUGGGCAACCUGCCUGUAAGACUGGGAUAACUCCGGGAAACCGGGGCUAAUACCGGAUAAUUCUUUCCCUCACAUGAGGGAAAGCUGAAGAUGGUUUCGGCUAUCACUUACAGAUGGGCCCGCGGCGCAUUAGCUAGUUGGUGAGGUAACGGCUCACCAAGGCAACGAUGCGUAGCCGACCUGAGAGGGUGAUCGGCCACACUGGGACUGAGACACGGCCCAGACUCCUACGGGAGGCAGCAGUAGGGAAUCUUCCGCAAUGGACGAAAGUCUGACGGAGCAACGCCGCGUGAGUGAUGAAGGUUUUCGGAUCGUAAAACUCUGUUGUUAGGGAAGAACAAGUACCGGAGUAACUGCCGGUACCUUGACGGUACCUAACCAGAAAGCCACGGCUAACUACGUGCCAGCAGCCGCGGUAAUACGUAGGUGGCAAGCGUUGUCCGGAAUUAUUGGCGUAAAGCGCGCGCAGGCGGUUCCUUAAGUCUGAUGUGAAAGCCCCCGGCUCAACCGGGGAGGGUCAUUGGAAACUGGGGAACUUGAGUGCAGAAGAGAAGAGUGGAAUUCCACGUGUAGCGGUGAAAUGCGUAGAGAUGUGGAGGAACACCAGUGGCGAAGGCGACUCUUUGGUCUGUAACUGACGCUGAGGCGCGAAAGCGUGGGGAGCAAACAGGAUUAGAUACCCUGGUAGUCCACGCCGUAAACGAUGAGUGCUAAGUGUUAGAGGGUUUCCGCCCUUUAGUGCUGCAGCAAACGCAUUAAGCACUCCGCCUGGGGAGUACGGCCGCAAGGCUGAAACUCAAAGGAAUUGACGGGGCCCGCACAAGCGGUGGAGCAUGUGGUUUAAUUCGAAGCAACGCGAGAACCUUACCAGUCUUGACAUCUCCUGACACCCUAGAGAUAGGCGUUCCCUUCGGGACAGAUGACAGUGUGCAUGUGUCGUCAGCUCGUGUCGUGAGAUGUGGGUAGUCCGCACGAGCGCACCUGAUCUAGUGCAGCAUCAGUGGGCACUCUAGUGACUGCCGUGACAAACC
rnacentral:rRNA from 1 species